rnacentral:misc_RNA from 1 species
UUUUUUUUAUGCUAAUACAUAGAGAAUUUGCUUGUUCAAAAAAAAAACAUAUCAAUUUAUUUAUAGAAACUCUUUAAUAGACAAAAAGAAGGAAAAUCAUGAAUAAUAAGAAGCUAUGUCCAGUUCUGAAACUACAAUUUCCUUUUAUAAUUUAUAAUGCAUCCUUCACUCUAAUGUUAACUGCAAUAACUAAAGCCAAUUUAAUAUCCACCAAAAGAGCAAGAGUUGCUCAGGCCAGCAUGCAUCUCCACGUGAAAAGCUUGAAAUUUGUUGCAGAAACCCUUCUUCCCAGCUUGAAAUGUUUAUUUUUUUUGUGCUAGAUUCCUAUAAUUUUUUUUAGAAGAGUGCAUCUCAUUACUUGUAUGCACUUGAUGCAAAAAUAAAUAUAUAAAAAUAUAUAUGGGCUCAUCUUUGAGAAUGUUUGUAAUUCUUGAUUAUGCAGUUAAACUAACCUGAAAAGAAAGCUUUAUGCUCCCAAGGGAAAGAUUGAGUCCUGGCUUCUGCUAUGCCUGGAUGCUGCUGAUGACUUGCCACUAGAUCUAGAUGAAAAGGACCUUUUCAUUGAAAUUGGUCCCUUUUGCAAUGCAUGCCCUAUUGAAGAACUUUUCAUCAGUUUCCCAAAGCUUGAAGUCCCACUACUUCCACGCUUUGAAACAUUUUUUGAAUUCGAGUACUUCAGUUGCAAUAUUUGAUUAUCCAAGUUUUCUUGAUGUUUGCCAGGCAAAAAAUUAGCCACAGCAUUGUAAAUUGCUGUGGCAGAAGAGGAAUCCAUUGACAGAGACCUCCUCAUAGGUUGCAUUUCUGCCUCCGCUGUCUGUGAACUGUCAACUAAAUCACUUUGUACCCGAGAAUGAUUCCCCAAAACAGAUGGAUUCAGAUUCAUCUUUGAGUUUCCUGAAUUUGCUUCGUCUUUGAUAGGUAAUGCGCAAUUCAUAUCAACUACGCUUCUCACUUCACUAGUUCCGUCUUCUCCAACCUGCUGAUUGCUUACCAAUCCACUGCUAUUCUCAAAAUUCUCCAUCUGGGGUUCUCCCCUUGAACUCAGAUCACUUGAAGUGGGCACUGAUAAAUCUACCUGAACAUUAAAGUUAUCACAGACUAUAGGUGCGCGGCAUAAAGGGCAAUUCUUGUGUGAUCUUAACCAAGUGUCGAUACAAGGUAUGUGAAAAGCAUGACUACACUUUGGCAAGAGCCUAAGACUCUCAUCGUCUUGAAACUCAUUCAAGCAAACAGAGCACUCUGUACCUUCUAUCAACCCUUCAUCUUUUUUGUACUUAAAGACUGCAAUGGAAUCGAUAACAGCUUGCUGGAGACCGAUGCUGUUGAUGAACCAUAUAGGGUGGAUGAUUUCUGGUCCUUGGUCUUCAUCGAGAAAGUCAUCUUGGGUGCCAAAAAAUAGAGGUGAACCACUUCUUGAGCUUCUUGAAAUUCUCUGCCUAGAGUAGCGAGCCCUUAAAAAUGGACAUAAGAUGCAAACAAGAAAUGCAGCACCAAUCAAACAAAUCAUGAUUAUCAUGCUGGUUAAGAUCAUAUGAUUUCGCGUUUCAUUAUUCGGAUGAGGCAGUAGUAGCGGCCGUACUGGAGGGAGUGG